UUUCCCUGGAAAAGGAAGGAGUACGAUCAUCAUCUUAUGGAACGGGAUUAGCUUUUGCUAAAAUUUAGAAAAUUGAUCAAGCGGGCUAAGCAAUUCUAUCUUCAGGCUAAACUCUUCUGAUAGCACAGGUUCAGGAGAAAGGGUUUCCCCUCUAUCAGACACAACAAAAGGGUUAGCAACGGUGGUAGCCAACCAAAGAGCAUAUGAAAAAUAGCGGUGACGAGGGGCCAAAAAGGAGUUAAUGGAUAGUAACUGGUUUCAGAUCAUUCCUCCUGGUCAGGCAUUAAUGUGGGCAUGCAAUCCUUCAUUAAUCCAAAGUCAUGUACGAAACACUAGCUUGUUAGGAGACGAAAAUCAGUGAAUGAACCAGAUUUCAGCCAAGACCAUUAAGAAAUUUUAUUCUUGAGAGGGUACAGAUUUUUCAGAUGGACUUUGCUAAAAAAUUUUAGGAUGAUUUACGUUUCUCCGAAGGUAGUGUAAUGCGUUUUGAUUGUAAAUCUGAACACAAUCUCCUUAGUUUGCAAUGAUUGGUGUUUACUUGUUUUAAUGUGAAUACUUUCAACAUCCAAGUGCUCUUGGGUUUGUAAACGAGAAAUUUCAAUUCAAACCGAAGCUUUUGAUAGUGAUUUCAGAGCCCUUGAUUUGCAGG